GGGUUGUGAGGUUAAGCGACUAAGCGUACACGGUGGAUGCCCUGGCAGUCAGAGGCGAUGAAGGGCGUGCUAAUCUGCGAUAAGCGCCGGUAAGGUGAUAUGAACCGUUAUAACCGGCGAUACCCGAAUGGGGAAACCCAGUGUGACUCGUCACACUAUCAUUAACUGAAUCCAUAGGUUAAUGAGGCGAACCGGGGGAACUGAAACAUCUAAGUACCCCGAGGAAAAGAAAUCAACCGAGAUUCCCCCAGUAGCGGCGAGCGAACGGGGAGGAGCCCAGAGCCUGAAUCAGCAUGUGUGUUAGUGGAAGCGUCUGGAAAGGCGCGCGAUACAGGGUGACAGCCCCGUACACAAAAGCGCAUGUGCUGUGAGCUCGAUGAGUAGGGCGGGACACGUGGUAUCCUGUCUGAAUAUGGGGGGACCAUCCUCCAAGGCUAAAUACUCCUGACUGACCGAUAGUGAACCAGUACCGUGAGGGAAAGGCGAAAAGAACCCCGGCGAGGGGAGUGAAAAAGAACCUGAAACCGUGUACGUACAAGCAGUGGGAGCACAGGUUUACCUGUGUGACUGCGUACCUUUUGUAUAAUGGGUCAGCGACUUAUAUUCUGUAGCAAGGUUAACCGAAUAGGGGAGCCGCAGGGAAACCGAGUCUUAAUUGGGCGUUAAGUUGCAGGGUAUAGACCCGAAACCCGGUGAUCUAGCCAUGGGCAGGUUGAAGGUUGGGUAACACUAACUGGAGGACCGAACCGACUAAUGUUGAAAAAUUAGCGGAUGACCUGUGGCUGGGGGUGAAAGGCCAAUCAAACCGGGAGAUAGCUGGUUCUCCCCGAAAGCUAUUUAGGUAGCGCCUCGUGAAUUCAUCUCCGGGGGUAGAGCACUGUUUCGGCUAGGGGGCCAUCCCGGCUUACCAACCCGAUGCAAACUGCGAAUACCGGAGAAUGUUAUCACGGGAGACACACGGCGGGUGCUAACGUCCGUCGUGAAGAGGGAAACAACCCAGACCGCCAGCUAAGGUCCCAAAGUCAUGGUUAAGUGGGAAACGAUGUGGGAAGGCCCAGACAGCCAGGAUGUUGGCUUAGAAGCAGCCAUCAUUUAAAGAAAGCGUAAUAGCUCACUGGUCGAGUCGGCCUGCGCGGAAGAUGUAACGGGGCUAAACCAUGCACCGAAGCUGCGGCAGCGACGCUGAUGCGUUGUUGGGUAGGGGAGCGUUCUGUAAGCCUGUGAAGGUGUGUCGUGAGGCAUGCUGGAGGUAUCAGAAGUGCGAAUGCUGACAUAAGUAACGAUAAAGCGGGUGAAAAGCCCGCUCGCCGGAAGACCAAGGGUUCCUGUCCAACGUUAAUCGGGGCAGGGUGAGUCGACCCCUAAGGCGAGGCCGAAAGGCGUAGUCGAUGGGAAACGGGUUAAUAUUCCCGUACUUGGUGUUACUGCGAAGGGGGGACGGAGAAGGCUAUGUUGGCCGGGCGACGGUUGUCCCGGUUUAAGCGUGUAGGUGUGUGUUCCAGGUAAAUCCGGUUCACUUUAACACUGAGGCGUGAUGACGAGGCACUACGGUGCUGAAGCAACAAAUGCCCUGCUUCCAGGAAAAGCCUCUAAGCAUCAGGUAACAUCAAAUCGUACCCCAAACCGACACAGGUGGUCAGGUAGAGAAUACCAAGGCGCUUGAGAGAACUCGGGUGAAGGAACUAGGCAAAAUGGUGCCGUAACUUCGGGAGAAGGCACGCUGACACGUAGGUGAAGUGAUUUACUCACGGAGCUGAAGUCAGUCGAAGAUACCAGCUGGCUGCAACUGUUUAUUAAAAACACAGCACUGUGCAAACACGAAAGUGGACGUAUACGGUGUGACGCCUGCCCGGUGCCGGAAGGUUAAUUGAUGGGGUCAGCGCAAGCGAAGCUCCUGAUCGAAGCCCCGGUAAACGGCGGCCGUAACUAUAACGGUCCUAAGGUAGCGAAAUUCCUUGUCGGGUAAGUUCCGACCUGCACGAAUGGCGUAAUGAUGGCCAGGCUGUCUCCACCCGAGACUCAGUGAAAUUGAACUCGCUGUGAAGAUGCAGUGUACCCGCGGCAAGACGGAAAGACCCCGUGAACCUUUACUAUAGCUUGACACUGAACAUUGAGCCUUGAUGUGUAGGAUAGGUGGGAGGCUUUGAAGUGUGGACGCCAGUCUGCAUGGAGCCGACCUUGAAAUACCACCCUUUAAUGUUUGAUGUUCUAACGUGGACCCGUAAUCCGGGUUGCGGACAGUGUCUGGUGGGUAGUUUGACUGGGGCGGUCUCCUCCUAAAGAGUAACGGAGGAGCACGAAGGUUGGCUAAUCCUGGUCGGACAUCAGGAGGUUAGUGCAAUGGCAUAAGCCAGCUUGACUGCGAGCGUGACGGCGCGAGCAGGUGCGAAAGCAGGUCAUAGUGAUCCGGUGGUUCUGAAUGGAAGGGCCAUCGCUCAACGGAUAAAAGGUACUCCGGGGAUAACAGGCUGAUACCGCCCAAGAGUUCAUAUCGACGGCGGUGUUUGGCACCUCGAUGUCGGCUCAUCACAUCCUGGGGCUGAAGUAGGUCCCAAGGGUAUGGCUGUUCGCCAUUUAAAGUGGUACGCGAGCUGGGUUUAGAACGUCGUGAGACAGUUCGGUCCCUAUCUGCCGUGGGCGCUGGAGAACUGAGGGGGGCUGCUCCUAGUACGAGAGGACCGGAGUGGACGCAUCACUGGUGUUCGGGUUGUCAUGCCAAUGGCAUUGCCCGGUAGCUAAAUGCGGAAGAGAUAAGUGCUGAAAGCAUCUAAGCACGAAACUUGCCCCGAGAUGAGUUCUCCCUGAGACUUUAAGUCUCCUGAAGGAACGUUGAAGACGACGACGUUGAUAGGCCGGGUGUGUAAGCGCAGCGAUGCGUUGAGCUAACCGGUACUAAUGAACCGUGAGGCUUAACCUUACAACGCCGAAG
rnacentral:rRNA from 1 species